rnacentral:tRNA from 1 species
GGAGACGUGGCCGAGUGGUCGAAGGCGCUCCCCUGCUAAGGGAGUAGGCUCGUGAGGGUCUCGUGGGUUCGAAUCCCAUCGUCUCCGCCA